CAAACUCAGACAUCGUGGAGGUUGGGAGACAGGAAUUAAAGGAAACAGUUCAAUCUUUAUCUUGGGAGUUCCUGACUGUCUCAGAAAUGAGGAAUUUGA
rnacentral:sRNA from 1 species